UUCUGUCGACAAUUUGAUGCAAUGAGCGGCGCAUAGGGUUUUCCAGAAAAUUUAUCGAUCAGAACACGUCGACGCUUCGAUUUGUCGCUCGUUCGCCAAGAAAAGAAAUCCCUCGCCCGAUCGGCAACAGAGAAACCCUCGCCUCUCUCAAACGGAGCGCCCAUGCGCUGCGCGGCUGUGCCGCUGCCAUCGUCCGUCGUUAAGCCGCGAUUCCCCGCCGCGCCGGCUGCCGGAUCCGGCGUCCUGACCACCUGCCUCUCCUAGUCUCCUUCUUCUGAUCUUCUCAAACUAGUGCUAAACUACAGUGCACACACAGAUUGCAUAGUCAGUUUUAUUUCAUUGUCAUAAGGAGAUUAGAAAUCCAAGAUGAAGAGGACCCGUACAAUUGAAGCAUUCAUGAUAUUAUGACUAUAUAGUGCUAUACAAAAAUGAAGAAACACGAGGGGCUACUACCUCGUGGACUUCGUGUUAACGAUCCAGUCCUUCUACUAUUGUGGGUGAAGAAACGAUGACCUUGAAUUAAGCAAGUCUUCAGUAAUUUGGUACCAAACCAUUUUGCAAUGAUGCACUUAGUUAAACUAUUUGUUUAAUGGAAUUUCCUCUUGUGGCAUACAUAUAACGCACAUUGAUGUGCAUGGUAUUUGACAUUAUAUUUAGUCAGUUAGUU